rnacentral:rRNA from 1 species
GUGGGGAAUCUUAGACAAUGGGCGCAAGCCUGAUCUAGCCAUGCCGCGUGAGCGAUGAAGGCCUUAGGGUUGUAAAGCUCUUUCAGGGGGGAAGAUAAUGACGGUACCCCCAGAAGAAGCCCCGGCUAACUCCGUGCCAGCAGCCGCGGUAAUACGGAGGGGGCUAGCGUUGUUCGGACUUACUGGGCGUAAAGCGCACGUAGGCGGACCAGAAAGUCAGGGGUGAAAUCCCGGGGCUCAACCCCGGAACUGCCUUUGAAACUCCUGGUGUUGAGGUCGAGAGAGGUGAGUGGAAUUCCGAGUGUAGAGGUGAAAUUCGUAGAUAUUCGGAGGAACACCAGUGGCGAAGGCGGCUCACUGGCUCGAUACUGACGCUGAGGUGCGAAAGCGUGGGGAGCAAACAGGAUUAGAAACCCCUGUAGUCC